UGGGGAAUAUUGGGCAAUGGGGCAACCUGAUCCAGCCAUGCCGCGUGAGUGAUGAAGGCCUUCGGGUUGUAAAGCUCUUUUGGCGGGGACGAUGAUGACGGUACCCGCAGAAUAAGCCCCGGCUAACUUCGUGCCAGCAGCCGCGGUAAGACGAAGGGGGCUAGCGUUGUUCGGAAUUACUGGGCGUAAAGCGAGUGUAGGCGGUUGCCGUAGUCAGGUGUGAAAGCCUUGAGCUCAACUCAAGAAAUGCACUUGAUACUGGGUGACUAGAGGACCGGAGAGGAUAGUGGAAUUCCCAGUGUAGUGGUGAAAUACGUAGAGAUUGGGAAGAACACCAGUGGCGAAGGCGGCUAUCUGGACGGUUACUGACGCUAAGACUCGAAAGCGUGGGGAGCAAACAGGAUUAGAUACCCUGGUAGUCCACGCCGUAAACGAUGGGUGCUAGACGUUGGCGAGCUU
rnacentral:rRNA from 1 species